rnacentral:rRNA from 1 species
AUUGAACGCUGGCGGCAUGCCUAACACAUGCAAGUCGAACGAGUGGCGGACGGGUGAGUAAUGUCUGGGCAACUGCCUGACGGAGGGGUCUAACUACUGGAACCGGUAGCUAAUACCGCUUACCAUCGGUUGUGCCCUGGUGGGAUUAGCGAGUAGGUGGGGUAACGGCUCACCUAGGCGACGAUCCCUAGCUGGUCUGAGAGGAUGACCAGCCACACUGGAACUGAGACACGGUCCAGACUCCUACGGGAGGCAGCAGUGGGGAAUAUUGGGCAAUGGGCGAAAGCCUGAUGCAGCCAUGCCGCGUGUAUGAAGAAGGUCUUCGGGUUGUAAAUUUCUGUCAGCGGGGAGGCGUUACCCGAAGAGGAAGCAACGGCUAACUCCGUGCCAGCAGCCGCGGUAAUUC